AUGCAAGUCGAACGGUAACAGGUCUUCGGAUGCUGACGAGUGGCGAACGGGUGAGUAAUACAUCGGAACGUGCCCGAGAGUGGGGGAUAACGAGGCGAAAGCUUUGCUAAUACCGCAUACGAUCUCAGGAUGAAAGCAGGGGACCGCAAGGCCUUGCGCUCACGGAGCGGCCGAUGGCAGAUUAGGUAGUUGGUGGGAUAAAAGCUUACCAAGCCGACGAUCUGUAGCUGGUCUGAGAGGACGACCAGCCACACUGGGACUGAGACACGGCCCAGACUCCUACGGGAGGCAGCAGUGGGGAAUUUUGGACAAUGGGCGCAAGCCUGAUCCAGCCAUGCCGCGUGCAGGAUGAAGGCCUUCGGGUUGUAAACUGCUUUUGUACGGAACGAAAAGACUCCUUCUAAUAAAGGGGGUCCAUGACGGUACCGUAAGAAUAAGCACCGGCUAACU
rnacentral:rRNA from 1 species